AUCACCAUUACCAGGCAGUAUUAG
rnacentral:miRNA from 10 species